rnacentral:rRNA from 1 species
UACGUAGGGGGCAAGCGUUGUCCGGAUUUAUUGGGCGUAAAGAGCGUGUAGGCGGCCAGAUAGGUCAGCUGUGAAAACUCGAGGCUCAACCUCGAGAUGUCGGCUGAAACCAUCUGGCUAGAGUCCGGAAGAGGAGAAUGGAAUUCCCGGUGUAGCGGUGAAAUGCGCAGAUAUCGGGAGGAACACCGGUGGCGAAGGCGGCUCUCUGGACCUGUCCUGACGCUGAGGCGCGAAAGCUAGGGGAGCGAACAGG